ensembl:misc_RNA Metazoa_SRP Metazoan signal recognition particle RNA
GCCGGGCGUGGUGGCUCACGCCCGUAAUCCCAGCACUUUGGGAGGCCGAGGCGGGUGGAUCACCUGAGGUCAGGAGUUCGAGACCAUCCAGCCUGAUCAACAUGGUGAAACCCCGUCUCUA